UGUGCCAGCAGCCGCGGUAAUACGGGGGAUGCGAGCGUUAUCCGGAAUUAUUGGGUUUAAAGGGUGCGUAGGCUGUAUUUUAAGUCAGCGGUGAAACCCUACUGCUCAACAGUAGACGUGCCGUUGAUACUGGGAUACUCGAAUACGGUUGCCGUGGGAGGAAUGUGUGGUGUAGCGGUGAAAUGCAUAGAUAUCACACAGAACACCGAUUGCGAAGGCAUCUCACGAAGUCGUUAUUGACGCUGAUGCGCGAAAGUGUGGGGAUCAAACAGGAUUAGAUACCCUGGUAGUCCACACUGUAAACUAUGAUAACUAGUUGCCGGCGACAAAUAGUCGGUGAUCAAGCGAAAGCGAUAAGUUAUCCACCUGGGGAGUACGACCGCAAGGUUGAAACUCAAAGGAAUUGACGGGGGCCCGCACAAGCGGAGGAACAUGUGGUUUAAUUCGAUGAUACGCGAGGAACCUUACCCAGGCUCGAACGGCAGAGGGAUUGUGAAGAGAUUCACAAGUCUUCGGACUUCUGUCGAGGUGCUGCAUGGUUGUCGUCAGCUCGUGCCGUGAGGUGUCGGCUUAAGUGCCAUAACGAGCGCAACCCUUGUCGCUAGUUGCCAUCAGGUAGAGCUGGGGACUUUAGCGAGACUGCCUUCGUAAGAUGUGAGGAAGGGGGGGAUGACGUCAAAUCAGCACGGCCCUUACGUCUGGGGCGACACACGUGUUACAAUGGUUGGUACAGAGGGUUGCCCGCUGGUGACAGCUUGCUAAUCUCUAAAUCCAAUCUCAGUUCGGAUUGGAGUCUGCAACUCGACUCCAUGAAGUUGGAUUCGCUAGUAAUCGCACAUCAGCCAUGGUGCGGUGAAUACGUUCCCGGGCCUUGUACACACCGCCCGUCAAGCCAUGGAGGCUGGGGGUGCCUGAAGUUCGAGACCGCGAGGAUUGACCUAGGGCAAACCUGGUAACUGGGGCUAAGUCGUAACAAGGUAGCCA
rnacentral:rRNA from 1 species